rnacentral:rRNA from 1 species
UACGGGGGGGGCAAGCGUUGUUCGGAAUUACUGGGCGUAAAGGGCUCGUAGGCGGCCAACUAAGUCAGACGUGAAAUCCCUCGGCUUAACCGGGGAACUGCGUCUGAUACUGGAUGGCUUGAGUUUGGGAGAGGGAUGCGGAAUUCCAGGUGUAGCGGUGAAAUGCGUAGAUAUCUGGAGGAACACCGGUGGCGAAGGCGGCUCUCUGGGCCUUACCUGACGCUGAGGAGCGAAAAGCGUGGGUAGCGAACAAGG